rnacentral:rRNA from 1 species
UGGGGAAUAUUGGGCAAUGGGGGAAACCCUGACCCAGCAACGCCGCGUGAGGGAAGAAGGUUUUCGGAUUGUAAACCUCUGUCCUAUGGGAAGAAGGAAGUGACGGUACCAUAGGAGGAAGCUCCGGCAAACUACGUGCCAGCAGCCGCGGUAAUACGUAGGGAGCGAGCGUUGUCCGGAAUUACUGGGCGUAAAGGGUGCGUAGGCGGUCUUGUAAGUUGGAUGUGAAAUACCCGGGCUCAACCUGGGGGGUGCAUUCAAAACUGUGGGACUAGAGUACGGGAGAGGAAAGCGGAAUUCCUAGUGUAGCGGUGAAAUGCGUAGAUAUUAGGAGGAACACCAGUGGCGAAGGCGGCUUUCUGGACCGAAACUGACGCUGAGGCACGAAAGCGUGGGGAGCAAACAGG